rnacentral:rRNA from 1 species
ACUGAACGCUGGCGGCAUGCCUUACACAUGCAAGUCGAACGGCAGCACGGGUGCUUGCGCCUGGUGGCGAGUGGCGAACGGGUGAGUAAUAUAUCGGAACGUACCUUAUUGUGGGGGAUAACGCAGCGAAAGCUGUGCUAAUACCGCAUAAUCCCUAAGGGGGAAAGCGGGGGACCGUAAGGCCUCGCGCAAUUAGAGCGGCCGAUACCUGAUUAGCUAGUUGGUGAGGUAAAGGCUCACCAAGGCAACGAUCAGUAGCUGGUCUGAGAGGACGAUCAGCCACACUGGGACUGAGACACGGCCCAGACUCCUACGGGAGGCAGCAGUGGGGAAUUUUGGACAAUGGGGGCAACUCUGAUCCAGCAAUGCCGCGUGAGUGAAGAAGGCCUUCGGGUUGUAAAGCUCUUUUGUCAGAGAAGAAACAGCAGCUCUAACACAGUUUGCGAAUGACGGUACCUGAAGAAUAAGCACCGGCUAACUACGUGCCAGCCGCCGCGGAAA